UCCGGCGUGGUCUAGUGGCUAAGAUACCUGGCUUUCACCCAUGAGGCCCGGGUUCGAUUUUCGGCGUCGGAG